AGGAGGGAUCAGAGUCUGAGACUAGCAGUCACCAAACAGACCUGGCGUCCAUAGCCAAGUUGUUUGAAGACAAGUCCCUCUCAUAUCUAAAGUCUCAUCUGAAGAAGUAUAGAAUAAUUCUGUGUCCAGAUUACCCAGGGUCAGUGGGAGGAUGAGGAAGGGAUGGAUGCUGAAGAGCAGAAAUAGAGCAAUGCCAGCAAAGGGGCUCUGAAGAUCACAAUUCAUGUCCUGAAGAGUAAUGAACCAGAAAGAGUUUGCAAGACACACUGGAAAAAAACUGAUGGGUUACAACCUGACAGAAAAAUACUGUGAAGCACUGGCCUCUUCUCUCAGCUCCUCUCAACUGAGAAUGCUGAACCUGAAUGAUAAUGAUCUGCAGGAUUCAGGAGUGAAGCUGCUCUCUGCUGGACUGAGGAGUCCACGCUGUAAACUGGAAGUUCUUACGUGUGAACAAUUGGAGUGUAAAGUAUUAGUUUGUUAUUAUAUGGAAUUACAGAGGAAGGCUGUGCUUCCUUGACCUCGGCUCCGAGGUCAAACCCCUCACACCUGAGAGAGCUAAAUCUGGACUACAGUCACAUAGGAGACUCAGGAGUGAAGAUUCUCUCUGCUGCACUGGAGCAUCCAGACUGUAAUGUAAAACUCAGAAGAGCUCCCUCUGUCCUCAAUAUGCUGAUACCCCCUCCAGUUUGUCAGAGAUCCCCUGCUCCAGCCCAGGAGAGCAACCUCAGGCUGGGAAACGUACCAGUCCCACAGUCCUGUCAGAGCCUGAACAGAAUGCUAUAGAACAGUUUGACAUUCUUCAUUAUUGUAUUCAUAACGUUACUCUGAGGACUAUGUCCCCUGAAUCUGUGGGGAAGUGUUGUAAUCCAUACAUUUGUAACAGUGUAAAUAAUCCAUAAAAGUAUUAUAUUUGAUUGUAGCACGCCUUGAUUUUAUAGCCAUUUAUUAUGAGUGAUUUACACAGAUGCACACAAUAGACAAGGACAAGUUUUAUGGUGUUGGUAGCAUGCUGUACUACAGUACUUACCUUACUAAAGACAUUCAUAAAGCUAACACUAAAUAUGUUUAUUAAGAUUUGUACCAUAUUUCUAAAGUGUGUUGUCUCUUCCUCUCUAUCACUAAAAGGAGGUGUAGCAUGGCGUAAUGCAGUACCAGUGAUGUUCUGUACACUGUAUCUGGUUUUAUCUUACUAAAUAACUUCCUGA